CAAAUAGUAGCUUAUAUGAAAGCUUAUUAUUUACAUUAAUAGGAAAACUUAUGUUUUAUUUGA
rnacentral:tRNA from 1 species